rnacentral:pre_miRNA from 3 species
UCUUAUGCAUGAGCAAAGAAAGUGGCUUCUUGAGCUGCAAUCUACUCCUGGUGAAGAUGCUUGUGAA